GAUGAACGCUAGCUACAGGCUUAACACAUGCAAGUCGAGGGGCAUCAGGAAGAAAGCUUGCUUUCUUUGCUGGCGACCGGCGCACGGGUGAGUAACACGUAUCCAACCUGCCCUUUACUCGGGGAUAGCCUUUCGAAAGAAAGAUUAAUACCCGAUGGCAUAAUGAUUCCGCAUGGUUUCAUUAUUAAAGGAUUCCGGUAAAGGAUGGGGAUGCGUUCCAUUAGGUUGUUGGUGAGGUAACGGCUCACCAAGCCUUCGAUGGAUAGGGGUUCUGAGAGGAAGGUCCCCCACAUUGGAACUGAGACACGGUCCAAACUCCUACGGGAGGCAGCAGUGAGGAAUAUUGGUCAAUGGGCGCUAGCCUGAACCAGCCAAGUAGCGUGAAGGAUGAAGGCUCUAUGGGUCGUAAACUUCUUUUAUAUAAGAAUAAAGUGCAGUAUGUAUACUGUUUUGUAUGUAUUAUAUGAAUAAGGAUCGGCUAACUCCGUGCCAGCAGCCGCGGUAAUACGGAGGAUCCGAGCGUUAUCCGGAUUUAUUGGGUUUAAAGGGAGCGUAGGUGGACUGGUAAGUCAGUUGUGAAAGUUUGCGGCUCAACCGUAAAAUUGCAGUUGAUACUGUCAGUCUUGAGUAUAGUAGAGGUGGGCGGAAUUCGUGGUGUAGCGGUGAAAUGCUUAGAUAUCACGAAGAACUCCGAUUGCGAAGGCAGCUCACUGGACUGCAACUGACACUGAUGCUCGAAAGUGUGGGUAUCAAACAGGAUUAGAUACCCUGGUAGUCCACACAGUAAACGAUGAAUACUCGCUGUUUGCGAUAUACAGUAAGCGGCCAAGCGAAAGCAUUAAGUAUUCCACCUGGGGAGUACGCCGGCAACGGCGAAACUCAAAGGAAUUGACGGGGGCCCGCACAAGCGGAGGAACAUGUGGUUUAAUUCGAUGAUACGCGAGGAACCUUACCCGGGCUUAAAUUGCAGUGGAAUGAUGUGGAAACAUGUCAGUGGGCAAUCACCGCUGUGAAGGUGCUGCAUGGUUGUCGUCAGCUCGUGCCGUGAGGUGUCGGCUUAAGUGCCAUAACGAGCGCAACCCUUAUCUUUAGUUACUAACAGGUUAUGCUGAGGACUCUAGAGAGACUGCCGUCGUAAGAUGUGAGGAAGGUGGGGAUGACGUCAAAUCAGCACGGCCCUUACGUCCGGGGCUACACACGUGUUACAAUGGGGGGUACAGAAGGCAGCUAGCGGGUGACCGUAUGCUAAUCCCAAAAGCCUCUCUCAGUUCGGAUCGAAGUCUGCAACCCGACUUCGUGAAGCUGGAUUCGCUAGUAAUCGCGCAUCAGCCACGGCGCGGUGAAUACGUUCCCGGGCCUUGUACACACCGCCCGUCAAGCCAUGGGAGCCGGGGGUACCUGAAGUACGUAACCGCAAGGAUCGUCCUAGGGUAAAACUG
rnacentral:rRNA from 1 species